rnacentral:misc_RNA from 1 species
AAGGAGUCUAACAUAUAUGCGAGUAUUUGGGUGGCCAAACCAAGUGCGGAAUGAAAGAGAUAAGGUGGGAUCUACGGAGCGCCAUCGACCGGUCUUGAUUUUUUGAAGGAUAUGAGUAAGAGCAUAUCUGUUGGGACCCGAAAGAUGGUGAACUAUGCCUGAAUAGGGUGAAGCCAGAGGAAACUCUGGUGGAGGCUCGUAGCGAUUCUGACGUGCAAAUCGAUCGUCAAAUUUGGGUAUAGGGGCGAAAGACUAAUCGAACCAUCUAGUAGCUGGUUCC